rnacentral:lncRNA from 1 species
GAAGACCCCGCCAUGUUGCUUACUGUACCUGCUAACAUGAUGUCACAUCCUGGGAUGCCUGCAUUUCAUGGAUUCUCUACAUCAACCUACACAACUUCUGCUGCCACCGGUCACCCCCGACACAGGACGUAAUGAGUUGGUGGUGAUGAUGGUGGCUCCUGGCUGCGGAGGUGGCUGCUUGCUGGCAUCUGGCGUGAGCGAUCGGCGUGGCAGGCUUUGUUCGUUAUCGCAUCGGAUAUUGAAGCAGGUUCCAUUUUUGGACAGCUCUGCUGUUAAUGGACACGUCGGAAUAAUCCAGGACACCAAGGUUCCCCCCCCCUCAAAAAAAAAAAGACAAAAAAAAAGAAAAAAGUUCGUGGAGGCCGACAGAGGGCGAUACGUCGAGAGAACAGCCCCGCAGCUCAUCGCUGCGUGAACCACGCGGGGUCUUGCCCGGGAAAGACCCCCGCCUGAGCAGAUGAAGGUCGGGUGUCAUCGCACACGAUCGAUGAAAGCCAAGCAGCAACACUGAAAUGGUCUUCCUCCUAGGACUCGCGACACCGAAGAUCUUGCAAGAUCUCGUGAGACCUCACAAGACUUCACGACUAAAAUAGAAGACACACUGCAGAGACACCGAGCACCUUACUGUCGAUGGUCAUCCAGAACCUUUCUGUCCGAGAUGACACCCACAAAACCAUCCCCUAGACGAGACGCUAAGUCGCCUAUUGUCUACACAGAGAGCAUCAAGACGUGGUCUUGGUAUACAACAGAAGUUUUACAAGUCUGCGCAAACAUUUUGUCCAAGCCACUGGGGUUGAGAUUGGUACAAGAUAACAUUUUCCUCAAAACACCAACGAUUGAACAAUCCUCUAGAGAUGCAAACCUACAAACAUUACCACGCAUAACCUCACUCCUUAACGACCUUAAAAAAAUCAUGAGAUGGCAUUUACCUUUUUUUUUUAAUCUACAGAAAGGAAAGAACUGUGGGGGCGAAUCACAUACGUCUAUUAAGAAUAUUGUCUUAUACUGAAAUCUUUCAUUUCAAAGCAAUCUCUUCUCUGACAGACAUGGUAUAAGGCUGUUUAUGCGCAGUUAUUUUCACCUUUCUAGAAGUAAUAAGUAUUCCAGGAUGCCAUCUUCUGUGUAUAAAAUCUGUAUUUUACAUGAAAUUAAAAGUCCACGGGUUAUGAAUGAAAAUGAAAAAAAAAUCAUUGUUGGAGGGGAGGAGGGAGGGUAAUAUUGUUUUCCCAUAUAUUUGAGUUUUCUUGGGGGAACAUCUCUGCUAUACUUCACAGUGACUAAAUGAUUUUUAAUCUUCCUAUGGCCAAGAAUGUUAUUCGACCAGCAUAUAAGAUGUCUUAUCGGCACCACACACAAAAUGUGCAGUUGCUCCUCCUCCUCCUCUCUCUCUCUCUCUGCUGGUCUCAAUGUACUUACAGUUAAUUUUGUAUGAUUUCAGAAAUGUCUGAAAUUUUUAGCGCUCGAGUCCCCAUUGUACUUACUUCGUCUCGACGACGGUCCAUUAGCAAAUCUCUGAGGUAGAAUGAUUACAGUACAGAUAUGGAAACUACGAACUGGAAAUGGUGAGCAGACAACCAUGAUCGAGCGUUGAACACAACGGAAUUGAAAAAAAAAAA